GCGAAAGCAUUUGCCAAGAAUGUUUUCAUUAAUCAAGAACGAAAGUCAGAGGUGCGAAGGCGAUCAAUACCGCCGUAGUUCUGACCGUAAACGUUGCCGCCUGGCAAUUGGGCGCACUUCUGUCGAAGUUGCCGCCAGCAGUAUUGCCCGGGAAACCAAAGUCAUUGGGUUCCGGGGGGAGUAUGGUUGCAAAGCUGAAACUUAAAGGAAUUGACGGAAGGGCCACCACCAGGAGUGGAGCCUGCGGCUUAAUUUGACUCAACACGGGGAACCUGCAACCCGGCCCGAACACUGUUAUGACAGACAGGUUGAGAGCUCUUUCUCGAUUCAGUGGUUGGUGGUGCAUGGCCGUUCUUAGUUCGUGGAGCGAUUUGUCUGGGUAAUUCCGAUAACGAACGAGAUUCUUGCCUGCUAAAUAGACGGCGCCGCCUCAGUACGGCGACCGAUCGCUUCUUAGAGGGACAAGCGGCUUUAGCCGCGUGAAGCAGAAGAGCAAUAACAGGUCUGUAUGCCCUCAGAUGUUCGGGGCCGCACGCGCGCUACACUGUUUGCAUCAGCGUGUUUCUCCCGCGCCGGCUGGCGUGGGCAACCCGUUGAACCGCAAACGUGCUAGGGAUCGGAGAUUGCAAUUGUUCUCCGUGAACGAGGAUUCCUUGAUCUGGCGAGUCAUCAGCUCGCGGGGAAUCUGUCCCUGCCCUUUGUACACACCGCCCGUCGCUACUACCGAUUGAGUUGGUUUAGUGAGGCUCACGGACUGCGCGCGGCACACGGCGCUUUCGGGCGUCGCGUCGCGUCGCGGAAAGUGAGACGAACUUGAUCACUUCUAGGAAGUAAAAGUCGUAACAAGGUUUUCGUAGGUGAACCUGCGGAAGGAUC
rnacentral:rRNA from 1 species